UGGGGGUGUAGCUCAGUAGUAGAACACUUACUUCAUGUUCACAAGGCCUUAGGUUUGAUUUCCAGCACUGCAGAAAAAAGAAGUAUGUUGUUACAUCUUCCAAAGUUAACCUGUAACUUGAUCCCCUUCUGGUUUCUUCACUGAUGAGCUGUGAUGCUUUCAGGUGAUAUUGUAACAGGGGUUCCCUUGUGGCUUACAUGUUUAUUUCUUUUUCCAAACCUCCUCCUUUCUGAUCUUCUCCUCCCUGAUCUUCUUUUCCCCUAACCUUUUCCCUGAUCUUCUCUGAUCUUCUUUUCCCUAACCUUCUCCUCCCUGAUCUUCUUUUCCCUGAUCUCUCCUCUAUAAUCACAUUUUCUCUGAAUCACCUCUUUAAAAACCCCCUGUUCCUCCUGAUGGGCAGAAUCACAGUCUUUGGGACAAGAGUCCCCUGUAUUUCUCAUUUGCUAGCAAAGCGAUAAACCUUCUUUGUCCUGGGCUGGGGUUAUAGCUCAGUGGUAGAGCACUUGCCUGACAUAUGUGAGGCACUGGGUUUUAU
rnacentral:lncRNA from 1 species